rnacentral:rRNA from 1 species
UGGGGAAUUUUGGACAAUGGGCGAAAGCCUGAUCCAGCAAUGCCGCGUGUGUGAAGAAGGCCUUCGGGUUGUAAAGCACUUUUGUCCGGAAAGAAAUGGCUCUGGUUAAUACCUGGGGUCGAUGACGGUACCGGAAGAAUAAGGACCGGCUAACUACGUGCCAGCAGCCGCGGUAAUACGUAGGGUCCAAGCGUUAAUCGGAAUUACUGGGCGUAAAGCGUGCGCAGGCGGUUGUGCAAGACCGAUGUGAAAUCCCCGAGCUUAACUUGGGAAUUGCAUUGGUGACUGCACGGCUAGAGUGUGUCAGAGGGGGGUAGAAUUCCACGUGUAGCAGAGAAAUGCGUAGAGAUGUGGAGGAAUACCGAUGGCGAAGGCAGCCCCCUGGGAUAACACUGACGCUCAUGCACGAAAGCGUGGGGAGCAAACAGG